AACAAUGAACAACUUCUAGUUUUGUUACCAAGAAGCCAUCACUGUUAACUUUUCGGAUGAGUUUCUCCUGGUAUUAUUUUGAAUGGGUGUGUAGGCACGUGUGUGUGCAUAAACAGGGAUUAUGCAACGUAAAGAGAUUUGCAUCUUUCUUUCUCGUACUUCGCACCUACUACAUACACUUCUCCACGUCAUUCGAUAAUUUAAAUAACGUGGUUUUCUAUGCUUCCUUAGAUUGCACUGUAUAUUUGAGCGUGCCUUAGAAAAUCAUUAAUAUCAAUAAGUGUCUUCGAGUUUUUCACUGUUACAAGUAAUGUGGCAAUGAGCAUUCUUUCUUACAAAUCUUUGACUAUGUGCCCUUAGGGGGGUCACACAGGAUAGAUUCCUAGACACCCAUUUAGUGCAUCUAAGUGUACGAAUGGUUCAAAGAAAUUAGUACAGGUGGCUAAGUGGUCCUCCAGAAAUGUGCCAGAUUAACUUCCUGCCAUCAGCGUGUGAAAGUGACCACUUCCCACACCCUCACCAGCACCGAGCAGGCUCAGACAAGGCCAUCAACAAAUGCUGUCGGCUCGAACUCGGGGACCGUCCGAAGCCAUUCGCUUUCCUCCAUUCCCACUGCUGCCUCCCGUGCAAGCCACUAUAGGCCCUUGGAUAGAGUGGAGUCCUCACUUCCACCCUGGCAGUCAGCACCUCAGCACCUAGCGUGGCCUUUCACGAAUGCCGAUCAGAUGACGCCCCUCUGCUCAGCCUGCUCUGUGCCUCCUGCCUCACCUAAGACAAAAUCCACACUUCUGCCCCAGCUCACGAGGUUCACUACCGCUGCUUUGUCUCUGCUCCAGCCACACUGGCCUUCUGCAAACCGUCAAGGUCAUCUCGUCUCGGGGUCCCUCAGCUCCUCCUUCCUCCAGGCAUCCUCCUUUCCUGGGGUGGGCUCCACAAUCUGCAGACGAUCCCUCCCACUGCCCUGUUCUGAUCACCCCUCAUUACUCUGGGAUAUUUUUAAACCCAUGGAUAUGACCUAUUUCUAAGCUCUAGGAGAGUCUGUUUCAUUUCAUUCCCUUCUCCGCUCCCAGUGCCCAGAGAGGUGCCUGGCAUAGAACAGGCUCUUGAUAAAUGUUGAGUUAACUAGUGAAUGGGUGGAAAGAUGCUGCUUAUGCACUACUUUUGGAUGCCAGGCCUUUGUUUGUAGGGUUCCGGCAGGCUGCAAUCCGUUAAUCUGUUCAGUCUGUUUUUUAGAGAUAAUUUCUAAACUUCUGUCCUUCAUGGCCGACGCAGAAGGCCUUUCUCAGCCUGAUGUGAUGUCUCCCUUCUUUGAGCCCCGUAGCGCCUCGUGCUUCUUGGAGACACUUAGUCCUUGCUGAGUAUGUCCUGGGCCUUUAAGUCUCUAAUUAAGUCCAACAGAAUUUCAGGGUCUUGACGACGUGUUUCCCCACCUGUUUCUUCCACAGCAGCCAGUAUGGCAUCACACACAGGCUGGGGGCUCUACGAACAUUUGCUCGAUUGAAACCGUUCUUGCUGUCAUUGCCUUGCGUAGCAUGUUGGGGCUGAUAAAAAUAUUUCAUGAAACAUGCUCUGAUCGGGUUCCUGUUUUCAAGAAAAACAUCCCAACCUUGCCAUCAGUUAGAACCUUACAGAUUCUGAACUGGAGUGAGGUGGGACGUGGGGAGGGAGGGGGUCAGGAAUACGCCAGGGGUUUGACUUGAGCACGUUGGGAGCGUGGGGAGCGAUUCUGUAUAAAUCGGGGCUAUUCUUUCUUCCCAACUCAAAAACUCAUUAGAAUAUCUAUGGAGACAGUCCUCCAGCCUCUGUUUUUCUUAAUUUGACAAACCCACGUUGGCCCUGUUUAUCUCUCGAUGUAUCUCCAAAGACUGUCAUAUUUCUGGUUUCCUGAUGAAUUGGGCUGCUCGUGGCUGGGCAGCCGGGGCUGGUGACAUCACUGCAGGCUGUCUGCAUUCGGUCUAAAUGACAAGGCCUGACGCUUUGCUCAGCGUCUCCCUCUUGCUUGCAGGGAUGAGGAAGGGAACAUCUGUAGGUGGUAACCGGGAAGGCAAACUUACAGGGAAAAGGGUAUGGUGGGGUGGGUGGAACAGACAGCUGGGCAGUUGGGGCAGGGAGAAGAGAGGCUCUCGCAUUGUCCAGUGUUCCUUGAAAUCCCGUGCAACAUGACAUCAUGGACCACGCCCUGCCCGAAACAGCCUUUACACGGCCAUCUGGCACUUGACUUUCCUAGGACUUGAACUUUGCUGCCGAAAGUCUGUCUCACCUCGCGAGUCGUCUUUUACCUCCCUCGUCUCACACUGUCCCCAGGGCAGCGGAUCCUACGUGUGUACAUUCUUGCAAGAGUGCAGCACAGAUUAGACACAGUUUUUUAUUCCCCCCCUCUUAAUUUCCUUUCUAUUACUCCAUUGUCAAGUUUCCAAUACUAUAAUUUUAUCUCUUACCAAG